rnacentral:rRNA from 1 species
AGCGGCGGACGGGUGAGUAACACGUGGACAAUCUGCCCCCCGGUCCGGGAUAGCCCAGGGAAACCUGGAUUAAUACCGGAUGAGACGGGACCCGCGGAGGCGGGAUCCGGGAAAGGCGCUGCGGCGCCGCCGGGGGAUGAGUCUGCGUCCCAUUAGCUAGACGGCGGGGUAACGGCCCACCGUGGCGACGAUGGGUAGCCGGCCUGAGAGGGUGGACGGCCACAUUGGAACUGAGACACGGUCCAGACUCCUACGGGAGGCAGCAGCUAAGAAUCUUCCGCAAUGGGCGAAAGCCUGACGGAGCGACGCCGCGUGAACGAAGAAGGCCGUGAGGUUGUAAAGUUCUUUUCGGGAGGGGGAACAACCGUGGCAGGGAAUGGCCGCGGGAUGACGUGAAUCCCGGAAUAAGCCCCGGCUAACUACGUGCCAGCAGCCGCGGUAACACGUAGGGGGCGAGCGUUGUUCGGAAUCAUUGGGCGUAAAGGGCGUGCAGGCGGUCCUGCAAGUCCGGCGUGAAAGACCCCGGCCCAACCGGGGGGACGCGCU